rnacentral:lncRNA from 1 species
UAUAAAUAUUAGUCAUAAAAAUAAAUCAAAACUACUAAAACAACUAUCUUAUACAGUCUGAAUUGUCUGAUGUGACUAUCAUCAGGCAUAAAUUUAUGGGAAAAGAUCAGAAUGAGACUUAAACAUGUUAGCUGCGUAUUGUCCAAUCGUUACAGCUCUGUUUUAGUGAAACAUUUUUUAAAUCUAAAUUACUCUGGCUGUACUUGCAGAGGUAAAACUCCUCCAGUAUUAUCUCCCAUGACUUGGACACACACUAGCAGAGGUAGAAAACCACAAGUAUUAUCUAACAUGCCUUACAUAUGCUUGCAGAGGUAAAACUUCUCAAGUAUUAUCUUGUGUGCCUUGGACAUACUGACAGAGGUAAAACUUCUCAAGUAUUAUCUUGCGUGCCUUGGACAUACUGACAGAGGUAAAACUUCUCAAGUAUUAUCUUGCGUGCCUUGGACAUACUGACAGAGGUAAAACUUCUCAAGUAUUAUCUUGCGUGCCUUGGACAUACUGACAGAGGUAGAACUUCUCAAGUAUUAUCUUGCGUGCCUUGGACAUACUGACAGAGGUAGAACUUCUCAAGUAUUAUCUUGUGUGCCUUGGACAUACUGACAGAGGUAGAACUUCUCAAGUAUUAUCUUGUGUGCCUUGGACAUACUGACAGAGGUAGAACUUCUCAAGUAUUAUCUUGUGUGCCUUGGACAUACUGACAGAGGUAGAACUUCUCAAGUAUUAUCUUGUGUGCCUUGGACAUACUGACAGAGGUAAAACUUCUCAAGUAUUAUCUUGUGUGCCUUGGACAUACAGACAGAGGUAAAACUUCUCAAGUAUUAUCUUGUGUGCCUUGGACAUACUGACAGAGGUAGAACUUCUCAAGUAUUAUCUUGUGUGCCUUGGACAUACUGACAGAGGUAGAACUUCUCAAGUAUUAUCUUGUGUGCCUUGGACAUACUUACAGAGGUAAAACUUCUCAAGUAUUAUCUUGUGUGCCUUGGACAUACUGACAGAGGCAGAACUCCUCAGAAUGAUAUUUUCUCACAUGACU